UGGGAAUGCCAUCGCUCAACGGAUAAAAGCUACCCUGGGGAUAACAGGCUGAUCUCCCCCAAGAGUUCACAUCGACGGGGAGGUUUGGCACCUCGAUGUCGGCUCAUCGCAUCCUGGAGCUGAAGAAGGUUCCAAGGGUUGGGCUGUUCGCCCAUUAAAGCGGUACGCGAGCUGGGUUCAGAACGUCGUGAGACAGUUCGGUCCCUAUCCGUCAUGGGCGCAGGAAAUUUGAGAGGAGCUGUCCUUAGUACGAGAGGACCGGGAUGGACGAAUCAAUGGUGUAUCUGUUGCAUACCAAAUGCAUGGCAGAGUAGCCAAAUUCGGAACGGAUAAACGCUGAAGGCAUCUAAGCGUGAAGCCGCCCUCAAGAUUAGAUUUCCCAGACUUCCUUCGGGAAGGAGUAAGGCCCCUUGAAGACGACGAGGUAGAUAGGCGGGAGGUGUAAGCACUGCAAGGUGUUGAGCUGACCCGUACUAAUAGGCCGAGGGCUUGACUUU
rnacentral:rRNA from 1 species